rnacentral:rRNA from 1 species
GAGUUUGAUCCUGGCUCAGGAUGAACGCUAGCGGCAGGCCUAACACAUGCAAGUCGAACGGUAAGGCCCAGCUUGCUGGGUACACGAGUGGCGCACGGGUGAGUAACGCGUAUGCAACCUGCCUCGAACAGGGGGAUAGCCCCGAGAAAUUGGGAUUAAUACCCCAUAACGCAUCGGAGCCGCAUGGCUCUGUUGCUAAAGCCCCGGCGGUUCGAGAUGGGCAUGCGUGGCAUUAGCUAGUUGGUGGGGUAACGGCUCACCAAGGCGUCGAUGCCUAGGGGUUCUGAGAGGAUUAUCCCCCACACUGGUACUGAGACACGGACCAGACUCCUACGGGAGGCAGCAGUGAGGAAUAUUGGUCAAUGGGUGAGAGCCUGAACCAGCCAUGCCGCGUGCAGGAUUGACGGCCCUAUGGGUUGUAAACUGCUUUUCCUGGGAAAGAACACCCCCGACCGUGUCGGUGAUUGACGGUACCCGG